rnacentral:rRNA from 1 species
CUGGAAACGGCGUCUAAUACUGGAUAUGUGACGUGACCGCAUGGUCUGCGUUUGGAAAGAUUUUUCGGUUGGGGAUGGGCUCGCGGCCUAUCAGCUUGUUGGUGAGGUAAUGGCUCACCAAGGCGUCGACGGGUAGCCGGCCUGAGAGGGUGACCGGCCACACUGGGACUGAGACACGGCCCAGACUCCUACGGGAGGCAGCAGUGGGGAAUAUUGCACAAUGGGCGGAAGCCUGAUGCAGCAACGCCGCGUGAGGGAUGACGGCCUUCGGGUUGUAAACCUCUUUUAGCAGGGAAGAAGCGAAAGUGACGGUACCUGCAGAAAAAGCGCCGGCUAACUACGUGCCAGCAGCCGCGGUAAUACGUAGGGCGCAAGCGUUAUCCGGAAUUAUUGGGCGUAAAGAGCUCGUAGGCGGUUUGUCGCGUCUGCUGUGAAAUCCCGAGGCUCAACCUCGGGCCUGCAGUGGGUACGGGCAGACUAGAGUGCGGUAGGGGAGAUUGGAAUUCCUGGUGUAGCGGUGGAAUGCGCAGAUAUCAGGAGGAACACCGAUGGCGAAGGCAGAUCUCUGGGCCGUAACUGACGCUGAGGAGCGAAAGGGUGGGGAGCAAACAGGCUUAGAUACCCUGGUAGUCCACCCCGUAAACGUUGGGAACUAGUUGUGGGGUCCAUUCCACGGAUUCCGUGACGCAGCUAACGCAUUAAGUUCCCCGCCUGGGGAGUACGGCCGCAAGGCUAAAACUCAAAGGAAUUGACGGGGACCCGCACAAGCGGCGGAGCAUGCGGAUUAAUUCGAUGCAACGCGAAGAACCUUACCAAGGCUUGACAUAUACGAGAACGGGCCAGAAAUGGUCAACUCUUUGGACACUCGUAAACAGGUGGUGCAUGGUUGUCGUCAGCUCGUGUCGUGAGAUGUUGGGUUAAGUCCCGCAACGAGCGCAACCCUCGUUCUAUGUUGCCAGCACGUAAUGGUGGGAACUCAUGGGAUACUGCCGGGGUCAACUCGGAGGAAGGUGGGGAUGACGUCAAAUCAUCAUGCCCCUUAUGUCUUGGGCUUCACGCAUGCUACAAUGGCCGGUACAAAGGGCUGCAAUACCGUGAGGUGGAGCGAAUCCCAAAAAGCCGGUCCCAGUUCGGAUUGAGGUCUGCAACUCGACCUCAUGAAGUCGGAGU